rnacentral:rRNA from 1 species
UACAGAGGUCCCAAGCGUUGUUCGGAUUCAUUGGGCGUAAAGGGUGCGUAGGUGGCGCCGUAAGUCAGGUGUGAAAUCUCGGGGCUUAACUCCGAAACUGCAUUUGAUACUGCGGUGCUUGAGGACUGGAGAGGAGACUGGAAUUUACGGUGUAGCAGUGAAAAUGCGUAGAGAUCGUAAGGAAGACCAGUGGCGAAGGCGGGUCUCUGGACAGUUCCUGACACUGAGGCACGAAGGCCCAGGGGGAGCAAAACGGGG